UAGUAUAGUGGUUAGUACUCCACGUUGUGGCCGUGGCGACACAGGUUCGAAUCCUGN
rnacentral:tRNA from 1 species